UCCGGUAUAGUCCAGAGGUUAGGAUACCUGUCUUUCAUUAGUGCGCCAGUCGCCUACCGUUAGAACACAGUAGACCCGGGUUCGAUUCCCGGUACCGGAA